rnacentral:rRNA from 1 species
CCUACGGGAGGCUGCAGUGGGGAAUAUUGGGCAAUGGACGCAAGUCUGACCCAGCAACGCCGCGUGAAGGAAGAAGGCUUUCGGGUUGUAAACUUCUUUUAAGCGGGAAGAACAGAAGACGUUGCCCCUUGAAUAAGCCACGGCUAACUACGUGCCAGCAGCCGCGUGAAUACGUAGGGGGCACGCGUUAUCCGGAUUUACUGGGUGUAAAGGGCGUGCGGGCGGAUAUACAAGUCAGAUGUGAAAUCCUCGGGCUAAACCCGUGAACUGCAUUUGAAACUGUUUCCCUUGAGUGUCGGAGAGGUAAGCGGAAUUCCCUGUGUAGCGGUGAAAUGCGUAGAUAUAAGGAAGAACACCAGUGGCGAAGGCGGAUUACUGGACGAUAACUGACGGUGAGGCUCGAAAGCGUGGGGAGCAAACAGGAUUAGAUACCCGGGUAGUC